rnacentral:rRNA from 1 species
UACGAAGGGGGCUAGCGUUGUUCGGAAUUACUGGGCGUAAAGGGCGCGUAGGCGGCCGGCUAAGUUAGGCGUGAAAGCCCAGGGCUCAACUCUGGAAUUGCGCUUAAUACUGGUUGGCUUGAGUACGGGAGAGGAUAGUGGAAUUCCCAGUGUAGAGGUGAAAUUCGUAGAUAUUGGGAAGAACACCAGUGGCGAAGGCGGCUAUCUGGACCGUAACUGACGCUGAGGCGCGAAAGCGUGGGGAGCAAACAGG